UUUUAAUCUCUAUUCUCCAGCAGUGCCAUUAUCUUCACUCAGUCAGGAAAGGAACCCAACUUGUCAUAACCGCAGACACUGACACGGAGUAAUGAUGCUUUCGCAGGCGGGCAGCUGAAAGAAGAUGGCAAUCGCACACAUCUCAGGAUCUUCUCCAUCAACUUACCAACCACUGAAGUAAGACUCACUGUCCUGGAUGGUGAGAAUCCCCAGUGAUGGACGCCAUUUUCUUGAGACACCACCGCUUGACGAAAUCCUCGAUGGUGGGGAGGAUGCUGGCCGUGCUGGAGAUGGCUGAUUCUGCGAAGCUCUGCAGCUUUCCCUGAUCCUGUGCAUUGGAGCCUCCAUAGCAGGCAUUUAUCAGAAAGUAAAGAAAUACAAUAAAAUUUCUGAAAACCAUAUGUAAACCAAGACUGACAAACAACCAGUGUGCAAAAGAAGACAGACUGUGAAGAUAAAUAAAUAAACAAAAUUACAAUUUAUU